CUUGAACCACUUUGAAGCAGAUACACUAAAGCGCGAGACAAUAAAAAUGAAGAAACUCAAACAAGGGUUUCUAUAGCCUCUUAAACAAAAAGUCAAGUAUUUAUCCAAAUACUCUAAAGAAUCUAUAAAAAUCAAGAUGAAGUAUGUAGGCUAAGAUACUUAAUUAAUGAAACAACUGCGCUUUAUAUGAUGAGCACAAUAACCAUGCCAAUUGAACAAUCAAAUAGAUGCUAGAAAGCUUCUAAAGUAAUUGACUUCAAAAAGCAAUCCUUUCGGGAGAAAAGCUAAUUGUUUUGGCAAACGCUAAUACCUGGUCGCUG